rnacentral:rRNA from 1 species
UACGAAGGGGGCGAGCGUUGUUCGGAUUUAUUGGGCGUAAAGAGCUCGUAGGUGGUUCGGUAAGUCGGAUGUGAAAUCUCCAGGCUCAACCUGGAGGGGUCAUUCGAUACUGCCGUGACUAGAGUUCGGUAGGGGAGUGUGGAAUUCCUGGUGGAGCGGUGAAAUGCGCAGAUAUCAGGAGGAACACCCGUAGCGAAGGCGGCACUCUGGGCCGAUACUGACACUGAGGAGCGAAAGCGUGGGGAGCGAACAGG